rnacentral:rRNA from 1 species
CAUGCAAGUCGAGCGGUCAAAAUGAGGGGGCUUGCCCCUGAAAGACGAGCGGCGGACGGGUGAGUAAUGCGCGGGAACGCGCCCUUUGGAGGGGGACAACCUUGGGAAACCAGGGCUAAUACCGCAUAACCUCCACGGAGCAAAGCGGGGGAUUUCUUCGGAAACCUCGCGCCAAAGGAGCGGCCCGCGUCCGAUUAGUUUGACGGCGGGGUAACAGCCCACCGUGACUACCAUCGGUAGCUGGUCUGAGAGGAUGAUCAGCCACACCGGGACUGAGACACGGCCCGGACUCCUACGGGAGGCAGCAGUGGGGAAUAUUGGACAAUGGGGGCAACCCUGAUCCAGCGAUGCCGCGUGUGUGAAGAAGGCCUUCGGGUUGUAAAGCACUUUCGCAGGGGAAGAAACGGUGCGCUCUAACAUAGCGCGCAACUGACGGUACCCUGAAAAGAAGCGCCGGCUAAUUCCGUGCCAGCAGCCGCGAUAAUACGGAAGGCGCAAGCGUUAAUCGGAAUGACUGGGCGUAAAGCGUGCGCAGGCGGCCGCGCAAGUCGGAUGUGAAAGCCCCGGGCUCAACCCGGGAAUGGCGUUCGAAACUGCGCG